rnacentral:rRNA from 1 species
GAUAAACGCUGGCGGCAUGCCUAAUACAUGCAAGUCGAACGGGGUUAAUGGUGCUUGCACCGUAACCUAGUGGCGAACGGGUGAGUAACACGUAGUUAACCUACCCAUUGGACUGGGACAACUUUUGGAAACGAAAGCUAAUACCGGAUAGGAAGAAAUUUUAAAGGAGCGAAUGCUUCACCAAUGGAAGGGACUGCGUCUGAUUAGCUAGUUGGUAGGGUAAGAGCCUACCAAGGCGACGAUCGGUAGCCGGACUGAGAGGUUGAACGGCCACACUGGGACUGAGACACGGCCCAGACACCUACGGGAGGCAG